CCUACGGGGGGCAGCAGUGAGGAAUAUUGGUCAAUGGACGAGAGUCUGAACCAGCCAAGUAGCGUGAAGGAUGACUGCCCUAUGGGUUGUAAACUUCUUUUAUAUGGGAAUAAAAUGUUCCACGUGUGGGAUUUUGUAUGUACCAUAUGAAUAAGGAUCGGCUAACUCCGUGCCAGCAGCCGCGGUAAUACGGAGGAUCCGAGCGUUAUCCGGAUUUAUUGGGUUUAAAGGGAGCGUAGGUGGAUUGUUAAGUCAGUUGUGAAAGUUUGCGGCUCAACCGUAAAAUUGCAGUUGAAACUGGCAGUCUUUAGUUCAGUAGAGGUGGGCGGAAUUCGUGGUGUAGCGGUGAAAUGCUUAGAUAUCACGAAGAACUCCGAUUGCGAAGGCAGCUCACUGGACUGCAACUGACACUGAGGCUCGAAAGUGUGGGUAUCGAACAGGAUUAGAUACCCCAGUAGUC
rnacentral:rRNA from 1 species